rnacentral:rRNA from 1 species
AGAACGAACGCUGGCGGCGCGUUUAAGCAUGCAAGUCGAGCGGCAAGGGCCUUCGGCCCCUAGAGCGGCGGACGGGUGAGUAACACGUGGACAAUCUGCCCCCCGGCCCGGGAUAGCCCAGGGGAAACCUGGAUUAAUACCGGAUGAGACGGGACCCGCGAUGGCGGGAUCCGGGAAAGGCGCUGGCGGCGCCGCCGGGGGAUGAGUCUGCGUCCCAUUAGCUAGACGGCGGGUAACGGCCCACCGUGGCGACGAUGGGUAGCCGGCCUGAGAGGGUGGACCGGCCACAUUGGAACUGAGACACGGUCCAGACUCCUACGGGAGGCAGCAGCUAAGAAUCUUCCGCAAUGGGCGAAAGCCUGACGGAAGCGACGCCGCGUGAACGAAGAAGGCCGCGAGGUUGUAAAGUUCUUUUCGGGAGGGGAACAACCGUGGCAGGGAAUGGCCGCGGGAUGACGUGAAUCCCGGAAUAAGCCCCGGCUAACUACGUGCCAGCCGCGGC